rnacentral:rRNA from 1 species
CACGGAAGGUGCAAGCGUUGUUCGGAAUCACUGGGCUUAAAGCGCGUGUAGGCGGGAUGGUAGGUGCUGUGUGAAAUCCCUUGGCUCAACCAAGGAACUGCUUGGCAAACCCCCAUUCUUGAGGCAGGCAGAGGCGACUGGAACGUUCGGUGGAGCGGUGAAAUGCGUAGAGAUCGAACGGAACACCGGUGGCGAAAGCGGGUCGCUGGACCUGUCCUGACGCUGAGACGCGAAAGCGUGGGUAGCAAACAGG